rnacentral:rRNA from 1 species
GACAGAGGAUGCAAGCGUUAUCCGGAAUGAUUGGGCGUAAAGCGUCUGUAGGUGGCUUUUAAGUCCGCCGUCAAUCCCAGGCGUCAACCCUGGACAGGCGGUGGAAACUACCAAGCUGGAGUACGGUAGGGCAGAGGAAUUUCCGGUGGAGCGGUGAAAUGCGUAGAGAUCGGAAGAACACCAACGGCGAAAGCACUUUGCUGGCCGAAACUGACACUGAUAGACGAAAGCUAGGGAG